rnacentral:rRNA from 1 species
CCAGACUCCUACGGGAGGCAGCAGUGGGGAAUAUUGCACAAUGGGGGAAACCCUGAUGCAGCGACGCCGCGUGAAGGAUGAAGUAUUUCGGUAUGUAAACUUCUAUCAGCAGGGAAGAAAAUGACGGUACCUGACUAAGAAGCCCCGGCUAACUACGUGCCAGCAGCCGCGGUAAUACGUAGGGGGCAAGCGUUAUCCGGAUUUACUGGGUGUAAAGGGAGCGUAGACGGCAUGGCAAGUCUGAUGUGAAAACCCGGGGCUCAACCCCGGGACUGCUCUUGGAACUGCGCGGCUGGAGUGCAGGAGGGGCAGGCGGAAUUCCUGGUGUAGCGGUGAAAUGCGUAGAUAUCAGGAGGAACACCGGUGGCGAAGGCGGCCUGCUGGACUGCGACUGACGUUGAGGCCCGAAAGCGUGGGGAGCAAACAGGAUUAGAUACCCGGGUAAG